UACGUAGGGGGCGAGCGUUGUCCGGAGUUACUGGGCGUAAAGGGCGUGCAGGCGGUGCAGUAAGUUUGGAGUGACAGUACCCGGCUCAACUGGGUAAGGCCUUUGAAAACUGCUGGACUUGAGGGCCAGAGAGGGACAUAGAAUUCCGGGUGGAGUGGUGAAAUGCGUAGAGAUCCGGAGGAACAUCAGUGGCGAAAGCGACUUCCUGGACCAAUACUGACGCUCAUGUGCGAAAGCGUGGGGAGCAAACAGG
rnacentral:rRNA from 1 species